GCCGUUUUAGCUCAGCAGGUAGAGCGCUUCCAUGGUAAGGAAGAGGUCACCGGUUCGACUCCGGUAAAUGGCUUCA
rnacentral:tRNA from 1 species